rnacentral:rRNA from 1 species
CCUACGGGUGGCAGCAGUGGGGAAUAUUGGGCAAUGGGCGCAAGCCUGCCCCAGCAACGCCGCGUGAAGGCAGAAGGCUUUCGGGUUGUAAACUUCUUUUGUCAGGGAAGAGUAGAAGACGGUACCUGACGAAUAAGCCACGGCUAACUACGUGCCAGCAUCCGCGGUAAUACGUAGGUGGCAAGCGUUGUCCGGAUUUACUGGGUGUAAAGGGCGUGUAGCCGGGUUGACAAGUCAGAUGUGAAAUCCUGCGGCUUAACCGCAGAACUGCAUUUGAAACUGUUGAUCUUGAGUACUGGAGAGGCAGAUGGAAUUCCUAGGGUAGCGGUGAAAUGCGUAGAUAUUAGGAGGAACACCAGUGGCGAAGGCGGUCUGCUGGACAGCAACUGACGGUGAGGCGCGAAAGCGUGGGGAGCAAACAGGAUUAGAUAUCCCUGUAGUC